rnacentral:rRNA from 1 species
UACGAAGGGGGCUAGCGUUGCUCGGAAUCACUGGGCGUAAAGGGUGCGUAGGCGGGUCUUUUAAGUCAGGGGUGAAAUCCUGGAGCUCAACUCCAGAACUGCCUUUGAUACUGAAGAUCUUGAGUUCGGGAGAGGUGAGUGGAACUGCGAGUGUAGAGGUGAAAUUCGUAGAUAUUCGCAAGAACACCAGUGGCGAAGGCGGCUCACUGGCCCGAUACUGACGCUGAGGCACGAAAGCUAGGGGAGCAAACAGG